ACUUGAAUAGCUUACAUAGAGCGUGACAUUGAAGAUGUCAUUGAGAUAUUUUUAUCUUUAAGUA
rnacentral:tRNA from 1 species